rnacentral:rRNA from 1 species
UACGAAGGGGGCUAGCGUUGCUCGGAAUCACUGGGCGUAAAGCGCACGUAGGCGGAUUGUUAAGUCAGGGGUGAAAUCCUGGAGCUCAACUCCAGAACUGCCUUUGAUACUGGCAAUCUCGAGUUCGGGAGAGGUGAGUGGAACUGUGAGUGUAGAGGUGAAAUUCGUAGAUAUUCGCAAGAACACCAGUGGCGAAGGCGGCUCACUGGCCCGAUACUGACGCUGAGGUGCGAAAGCGUGGGGAGCAAACAGG